AGCUCCAAUAGCGUAUAUUAAAGUUGUUGCGGUUAAAAAGCUCGUAGUUGGAUUUUUGAGCUUGAACGAUUGGUCCAGAUUAUCUGCGUACUGAUGGUUCGGUUCUUCUGUCUGGAGACUGGUGGUAGUCGCUUAGAUGAGGCGCUGCCAGGAUCUAGGACUUUUACUUUGAACAAAUUAGAGUGUUUAAAGCAGGCCUACGCCUUGAAUACAUUAGCAUGGAAUAACGUAUAGGACUUUGGUUCUAUUUUGUUGGUUUUAAGGACCAAAGUAAUGAUUAAUAGGGACAGUUGGGGGCAUUAAUAUUUAAUUGUCAGAGGUGAAAUUCUUAGAUUUAUGAAAGAUUAACUUCUGCGAAAGCAUUUGCCAAGGAUGUUUUCAUUAAUCAAGAACGAAAGUA
rnacentral:rRNA from 1 species